GGACUUGGUCUGCAUAAGUGGGAAUUCUCAUUCAGAUUUGACCAAACCAGGUGGAGUUGGUGAAAUCCAAUGGGAACAGGAGUGAAAGGCCAAAACAAGAACAAGAAAAACAAGCAAUACGAUUACUGAGCACUCUAAUGGUUUUUAAAAAUUAUUUAUAGACCCUUUUGUAAUAAUCUACUUGCUAUGUGACUUGGAAGCUUGAAAGAAACACUGCUGUGACCACUCAAUCUCCUUCACAAGUUUUUUAGGACCAACAGUCCCGUAGAUUCUCAAUGUUUGGUAAGAGACAUGCUUAGAUUGUGCUGUUCCUACAACGCGAAGCCAGAUAAAACUUUGACCAACUUCAGAAAAACUGAGUUUACAGUUGGAUCUUCUCUAUGUAUUUGAAAAAUAAAAUAAGUGGAGAAUUUAAAGUGAUGCCCUCAUGGUAAAAACUUGGGAGAUGACAGAGAAAAAAGGCAAGUUCUGACUGGAGAACUGAAAUUCUAGCAAGUUCCAAUAAAUUCUCUCAAAGCUUUAAUAAUUCACAGUCAAAAAUUAAAGAGCAGGUAAGAAUGCAAAGCACCAUGAGCGAAAGCCAGAGAAAAACAAAACAAAACAACGACGACAACAAAAAAGAACAAAAAUAGGAGCAAAAAUCUCCAGGCAAAAUUAGAAGAUAUUGGACAAAUGAGAUAAUGGACAGAAAUUAAUUAUAUUUUAUAUGCUUAAAGAAAUAAUGUGCCUAAAAAUAAAAAAGAAUGUACACAGUUUUUGAAAAAUCAAUUUUCAAAAUGAACCAAUUAGAAUUUUCAGAACUCAGUAAGUUAUGAGGAUAUGUAGACAGUAUAAAAAGACUUAAAAAUUCAGAAUAAUUCAGAGAAAGAAAAUGAACUACAUACAAAUACUUUUUAGACUUAUAAUUUCCUUAUAAAUAAAAAAUGCAUGUCAAAGGUCAAUAAAAUGCUGCCUUCCAUGUGCUGAGUAAAAAUAACUUUCAGUCUGGAAAUAUAAAUGAGCAAAAAAUAUUUCAGGAUUAGUAGCAAUACAAACACAUUUUCGAAUUGUAAGAAGUAGAAUGAAGGAAAACUGUACAACUCACAUUAAUGGAAAUGUUAAAAGGUAUUCUUAAAUAAAAAAUGAAAAUAAAACCAAGUGAAACUUCUGAGUUUAUAAAUAUGUGGGGAAUUCUAAAUAAAGAUUAUGGAAAAAACAUAGUGAAUUUUAGUUUUUGAGUAAAAGUAAGAAAACAGAAACAGUGUAUAACUUAAGAGUGGAAAGGAAGGACACAGGAGAAAAGAUUCUACUGAUGAUUGGGAAGAAGGAUAAUUUCUUUUUCACUGUAAAUGCCAUUUAUUUUUUUCCAGCCAACUAGUCUUUCUAUUACUUCCAGCUCAAUGUCGACUAAAACAAUAAUAGCAGAUAUCUUCCCCUUCCCUUAGUAUCAACCUGUUUGUUGUUAACUAACUUGUCUUUUAAAUUGUCACAUAAUGAGAAAAAUGAACAUUUAAAAAAUAUUUUUACUUUAAUUUUUUGUAUGCUUAACCUUUUAAAUUUGGGGGCAUAAUAAACCAAAUAUAUGUUUCUUCCUUAAAUUUUAAAAUCAACAAAUAAUUUUAUAAAUAAUUCAAUGUUUGGUAAGCAUAUGAAAGUACACACAAAGGU
rnacentral:lncRNA from 1 species